CUCUCUGCUCUCCCCUGAUAGGAUGAUUCCUGUGCACCCUCUCUAGGAAAUUUUUUUUUUUGUGUGUGCGUGUGUUUCUUUUAUUUCAUUUUCAACAAAAACAGGAAGCACACUUUAUUUUUCCUUCCACCACUCCUCCACCUCAGUCCACCCCGGCGUUACCUGGAGGCACGCGGACUCGCCGGAAGAGCAUGUGAAUGGCCAAAGACACCUUUGCUGAUUUUGCCACCAGUCCUACCCCAUGGCUUUGCCAACAUCAGGAGGAGUGAUGCCAGUUCCAGACCAGCCAUCUGUGUCGGAAAAAAAUAGCUUGCUGAGCCCCAUGCUGACGGCUUCCAAUGGAGAUGGCUCUGAGCCAGAGACCACUUCUGCUAUUCUGGCUUCAGUCAAAGAACAGGUUGGAAUUACAGAUGCCUCAGGGUGAAACGUAUGAGACACAUUUUCCUCUUGUGUUCAUUUUCUUCCUCAAAAAUCAAUCAGAUUAAAGUUUGCC